AUGGUGUCUGCGGUGUUGAGGACGAUCCUGGUGACCGGCGGCGCGGGGUACAUCGGCAGCCACACCGUGCUGCAGCUGCUCCUGCAGGGCUUCCGCGUCCUCGUCGUCGACAGCCUCGACAACGCCUCCGAGGAGGCCAUCCGCCGCGUCCGACAACUCGCCAACGCCCCGCAAAACAGCCUCGACUUCCGCAAGGUGGACCUUCGUGACAAGGAGGCGCUCGACCAAAUCUUCUCCUCCCAAAGGUUCGAGGCUGUGAUCCACUUUGCCGGGCUGAAAGCCGUCGGGGAGAGCGUGGAGAAGCCCCUGCUUUACUACGACAACAACCUCAUCGGCACCAUCACCCUCCUCCAAGUCAUGGCAGCACAUGGAUGCAAGAAGCUUGUCUUCUCAUCAUCAGCCACUGUGUACGGGUGGCCCAAGGAGGUGCCCUGCACCGAGGAGUUCCCGCUCUCGGCGACCAACCCUUACGGCAGAACAAAGCUUGUCAUUGAAGACAUCUGCCGUGACCUCCAGCGCUCGGACCCUGACUGGAAGAUCAUACUGCUGAGGUACUUCAACCCAGUCGGCGCUCACCCGAGCGGCUACAUCGGGGAAGACCCCCUUGGAGUCCCCAACAACCUGAUGCCCUAUGUCCAGCAAGUCGCUGUCGGGAGGCGGCCUGCGCUGACGGUUUAUGGGACCGACUACAACAGCAAGGAUGGAACAGGGGUACGUGACUACAUCCAUGUUGUUGACCUGGCUGACGGCCACAUCGCCGCCUUGAGGAAGCUCUACGAAGAUUCUGACAGAAUAGGGUGCGAAGUGUACAAUCUGGGCACUGGAAAGGGGACAUCCGUGCUGGAGAUGGUUGCCGCAUUCGAGAAGGCUUGCGGAAAGAAAAUCCCUCUGGUUUAUGCUGGAAGAAGAGCUGGAGAUGCCGAGACUGUGUACGCUGCCACCGCCAAAGCAGAGAAGGAGCUCAAGUGGAAGGCCAAGUAUGGGGUGGAGGAGAUGUGCAGAGACCUGUGGAACUGGGCCAGCAAGAACCCCUACGGCUACGGAUCCACCGACAACGGCCACUGA
rnacentral:rRNA from 1 species